AAUAGGAACGCUAUUGACUAAUAUCUUCACAUUUCCGUUUCUUAAAAGACCUGCUUGAAGUUUGAAGACUCGUCGUUGAUUGAAGUUGCUGUCUUUCGUCGAUAUACAGAUUGUUGGUUAAUUUUAUUUGAGAUUAAAUGAGGCCGAGAAAAAACGUUCUGAGGAAGAGAGACUACGUUCUGAGGCUGAGCGUGAUCAAAUGAGGGAAGAAAUGCUUCAGAUGAAGAAUCAGAUGGCAAUGAUGUUAUCUAUGUUUUCCGGUGGCCUUCCUCCCCGUCCUCCACCUCCUACUUGAUUGUGGAUAUAUGUGUAUUUUGGAUGUUUUGAAUUAUGAUAUUUGUGUAUUUUGAAUUAUGAUGUUUUGGGUAUUUUGAAUUAUGAUA